GGGAGCUUGCUCCUUGAUUCAGCGGCGGACGGGUGAGUAAUGCCUAGGAAUCUGCCUGGUAGUGGGGGACAACGUUCCGAAAGGAGCGCUAAUACCGCAUACGUCCUACGGGAGAAAGUGGGGGAUCUUCGGACCUCACGCUAUCAGAUGAGCCUAGGUCGGAUUAGCUAGUUGGUGAGGUAAAGGCUCACCAAGGCGACGAUCCGUAACUGGUCUGAGAGGAUGAUCAGUCACACUGGAACUGAGACACGGUCCAGACUCCUACGGGAGGCAGCAGUGGGGAAUAUUGGACAAUGGGCGAAAGCCUGAUCCAGCCAUGCCGCGUGUGUGAAGAAGGUCUUCGGAUUGUAAAGCACUUUAAGUUGGGAGGAAGGGCAGUAAGUUAAUACCUUGCUGUUUUGACGUUACCGACAGAAUAAGCACCGGCUAACUCUGUGCCAGCAGCCGCGGUAAUACAGAGGGUGCAAGCGUUAAUCGGAAUUACUGGGCGUAAAGCGCGCGUAGGUGGUUCGUUAAGUUGGAUGUGAAAGCCCCGGGCUCAACCUGGGAACUGCAUCCAAAACUGGCGAGCUAGAGUAUGGUAGAGGGUGGUGGAAUUUCCUGUGUAGCGGUGAAAUGCGUAGAUAUAGGAAGGAACACCAGUGGCGAA
rnacentral:rRNA from 1 species